GCUCCCUUAGCUCAAUUUGGACCAGAGCAGUGCUCUUGUAAAGCGAAGGUUGUCGGUUCGAGUCCGACAGGGAGCUC
rnacentral:tRNA from 2 species